AUCAAUCAGUUAUUUUUUUUAUCCUUUAAGGGAAAAUUGCCUCAUAGCCCAUUAGUUAUGAGGUGAAAAUGCUUGCGGCAAAGAAGCUUAUGGCAAAACCAUCUAGAACCCCUGUGGACCUCAAGGUUCCACUGAAGCCUCACCAAACUUGUCAUCAAACCCAUUUUCCGGAGCAAGAAACCGAGGCCCCAGGACUACAGAGCCUGUUCCUGUGCCUCCAGAAUGCUUGGCCCGCAAUCCGACUUGAACGAUCGCGCUGGCAACAGCGCCCCCUGCAGGCGGCGACGGCCACGCCCGCGUCACGUUCAGCCCCGCCCCUCGGCGCCGGAAACUUCCGAACUCUCCCUCCGAACUCCGAAGGUUAUCGAGCGCUGCUCCAAAGGUCCGGGCUCGGAGACGCCGGGCGCACAGCCAUCGGCCCGGACCCGACUUCCCCGCAGCCUUAGUCGCCGCGGCAUCGGGUCAGAGGCAUCCCCGGGGACCGCGGGAAGGUGGAGGCGGCCUUCGCUGCCGUCGUCUCCUUCUUCGUGAGUAACGCCCAGACAGACGCCGCGGGGCAUCCGGGAGGGCCCGACGCCCACCCAGGAGCGGAGGAGGCGGGCUCUGGGAGGGGCUCCUGAGGCAGAGGCUCUGCCCGGGGGGACAUUGCCACAAGCGAGGACGCCGUGCAUCAAGCCCUGGGCAUGUGUCCCUGCGUCCUUGAGCAGCAACCUCCCCCUCCUUAGACCUCAGUUUCUGCACCUGUAAAAUGGGGGCUCGCGGCACUUCUGUAACUGCAAAAACCGUGAUUUCGUCCAGCAUUUUCAGAAUUCCCCUCCCCCAGGCAGGCACUGAGAAAUCAGAGCUGGGUCAGGCUCUGCCGUGUGAACGUGCAGAGUUCUGGGAUCGCCUUCCCUUGCGGUGUUAGUCCUUCUGAUACUGGAGAGCCCCAGAGGUUGGGGACUAGCCCCUUCCUGGUGGACCAGGUGCCCUGCAGCCUAGGAUGUGACAGACAUGAGACACGGCCAUGCAAGUAACAAGUAACCGUGCUAGCUCAGAUUUACUGAGCACUUACUGUGUGUCUGGCUUUACGUGAAGCCCAACACGUGUUAUUUCCGCCUCACGACAGCCCUGUCUGGUAGGUACUGUUCCUCCCCAGUUGACUGAGGAGGUGUUUGAGGCCCAGAAUCACAGAAUAGUAACCAGUCCAAGGUGUCCCAGCUAAGAUGUGGCUGAAGCAGCAGUCCACAGCCUUACUACCCACUGUACUGUUCUGAGAAAUGUUUGACCUGGAAGGCGGAAUGCCGGGACAGGGAAAAUGACAAGGGCCUGCCAUUAUCAAUAAUACAAACCAUGAAUUGAGCACUAAAUAUGUGUAGGGUGGUGGCCUAAGGGCCAACGUCCUUUAUACUGCUGACCCUGCACUACAGGGUUUGUUAUUUCUACUUCAUAGAUAAAGCUCAGAGAGGUCAUCUCAUAUGUCUCAGGUCACACUGGUACUAAAAUCUGGGUUCAUGAGUGGUGCCCUCUACGUGCCUGUAUAUCGCUCUUAGGAAGACCCCACUCUUUAAAAAAAAAAAAAAGGAAGACCUGACUCUUCUCUGAAUCUCAGUUUCCCCUUCUGUUAAAUGGGAGACUUGGGCCAUAGGGCCCUGGACAUUGUUUCCUGAGCUCACAUUCUUUGAUUUUUAGGUAGCAUUGAUAUGAUGUCUGGAGUUCUGGGUUUGUUCCCAAUUUUCUGUGACUUGGGAAUGCCUUGGCCAAGUCCUCUGUAUCUCUGAGCCUCAAUUUCCCCCUUCAAAAAAUGUAGAGACUAGACAAUCCUAAUUGCAAUGGCACCUUCUGGCUUUAAUAUUUUAUGACUGCGGAUGAAAAGACAAGUUGAGGUCCAGCAAACUUUGCAUCCCCUGAGAAUGUCUAAUGAAUGCGAAUCUGCCACCUCACUCAGAACAUCCCUGGUGGUAGGCUUCCAAGGACAGAUACUCUGCAUGGGUGAAGGGGAGCGGCCACCUCCAGACCAUCACUGGGGGAGGCUUACUCCUCAGAGUAAGCUCAGAGCUCGCCCCUCAGGUCAGACCAGCCCAAGGCUGAAUGCCAGCCCUCCCACUUCCCAGCGGGGAACCUCAAGCAAGCGACAUCUCCUGUCUGCGCCUCAGUUUCUACAUCUGUAAAAUGGGGUGCUAAUAAUGCCAGCUUUGUCUGGAAAGCAUACGCAAAAAACCUAACACCAUUUCUGGCCUCGAAACCCCUCAAUAAACACAACUGUGACUGAU